GCCUGGGUGGCUCAGUCGGUUGAGCGUCUGACUUCAGCUCAGGUCAUGAUCUCAUAGGUUCAUGAGUUCGAGCCCUGUGUCGGGCU
rnacentral:tRNA from 1 species